AUUGAACGCUGGCGGCAUGCCUUACACAUGCAAGUCGAACGGCAGCGGACCUUCGGGUGCCGGCGAGUGGCGAACGGGUGAGUAAUGCAUCGGAACGUGCCAUUGAGUGGGGGAUAACGUAGCGAAAGUUGCGCUAAUACCGCAUAUUCUGUGAGCAGGAAAGCAGGGGACCGCAAGGCCUUGCGCUCUUUGAGCGGCCGAUGUCAGAUUAGCUAGUUGGUGAGGUAACGGCUUACCAAGGCGACGAUCUGUAGCGGGUCUGAGAGGAUGAUCCGCCACACUGGAACUGAGACACGGUCCAGACUCCUACGGAGGCAGCAGUGGGGAAUUUUGGACAAUGGGGGGCAACCCUGAUCCAGCCAUGCCGCGUGAGUGAAGAAGGCCU
rnacentral:rRNA from 1 species